rnacentral:tRNA from 1 species
GGACCCGUAGUUCAAUGGAUAGAAUAUCAGAUUCCGGUUCUGACGAUAGGGGUUCGACUCCCCUCGGGUUCA